rnacentral:tRNA from 1 species
GGGAGUAGAUUGGUCCUGGUGGGCCUCCUGGACUUCAAAUCCAGUGGCGGGCAGCUAACCUGGCCGCGGUGGGUUCGAUUCCCAUGUACUCCCGCCA